UAACGCGUGAGUAACCUGCCUCUAAGAGGGGGAAAACAUUCUGAAAAAGAAGCUAAUACCGCAUAACAUAUAUUUAUCGCAUGGUAGAUAUAUCAAAGAUUUAUCGCUUAGAGAUGGACUCGCGUCCGAUUAGUUAGUUGGUGAGGUAACGGCUCACCAAGACUGCGAUCGGUAGCCGGACUGAGAGGUUGAACGGCCACAUUGGGACUGAGACACGGCCCAG
rnacentral:rRNA from 1 species